rnacentral:lncRNA from 1 species
GUCUGUCUCUAUAAAUUAUAUACCGAUCAAUUUUAUACUAGCACAUUCCAUUAAUAAAGAUAUCUAGGCACAUACAUGUGACAGGAAAAUUUAUUUACCCUGUAUGAAAGUUGAUUAUUACAAUAUUGUAUGAUAAAAAAAUCAAUUUUUCUUCUUAAAUAAACUAAACAACGUUCCCAGCUGUUCAAAUGUCUUCUUUUAUCUACCAUGUAUAAACUUGCGUCAAUAUGAAAUAUGAUUUUGAUCUUUUAAUCAGAAAUAAUUUGUUAUUUUCCCUUUCUUCGCAGCAUUAUGUACAAAUGUAUCUCGUCUUUCAUAGAUACUGUUAACAUUAAGACCUUGAUAACAUUUCUGACGAGUGAUGUUGAAACAUACAAUUUACUUUAAUCGUAACGCUUGAUUACACACAUUAUCAUUUACAUUUCAGAAAUAUUUUCCUAGUGUAUAAAUCUCUUACGAAGGCGUUCCAUAUAUAUAUAACAUGGCGAUAAAAUUACAGCUAUUUAUUAAAAGAUAAUGUAAAAUGUCUAAGCUGUAACAUCUUGCUAUGGUAAAUUUAAAGAUUUCAGACAUGUCCAACCACGCCUUUCAGAUUUGUUAACUUUGAUAUAUAGAUGAACCUUCUCACCAUACUACACAUGUAUAGAACAAAUACCAGACACCACAUCACCAUACUACACAUGUAUAGAACAAAUACCAGACACCACAUUGACUUAGCGAAAGCUUAACCAUACUGGGCGAGACCUUCAAACAUUAUCAUAGGCAAGCUUUGUCCAAAUCCGGAAAAUUCUAUCCUUCGUUUCAAGAGAGUCGAAAUUAAAAUAUUUAGGUAACACACAGGCUCAAUGAAAAUUUAAUACCAUGUAUCGAGACGACCUGCAUAUUAAGAUAUUUACGAGAUAUAUCGAGACGGAGACGAGUUAAAACAGUUUCGAAUCAUCGCUAGCCUAGACAGAUUCCUCUUCAGAGAAAACGAUAAAUGGAAAAUGAUAGCAUUGCAUCUGAACUUUAAUAAAUGCAAGCAGAAUUAAAUUUAAAAUAACUUGAGAAUUUAGUUUAAAGUUUUUCUUCGUUUUUUUUUUUUUUUUUCAUUUCUUUAUCAUAUUUGAAUCAUUCUCUUUUACUUUCGUCAAACUGGAAUUUUUUUUAUAAAAUAAAUCUUAAUACUAUUUGUUCUUUUUUCAGUUGACAUAAGAUACAUUUAACUGCUAGACAAUUUCUAUUUGUGAUCUAAGCUUAGAUACUUCAAAAUUCAUUUAAGCUACUAUCGUAUUGAUUUAUCAUAUUGUCACGAUAACUAUAAUAUAAUAUUGAUAUUGAUCGCUGGCUCUAAAAUAACACAUGCAAUUUACAUCAACAAGGGAUUUUAACAAAUCUUUCGAUUGCUUUUUGGAUCACAGUUAUCUUUAUCGAAAUGCCCCUUUGUUAGAUACUUAGAGAAAGAAACACAUAUCGUUCUCUCUUCCACACCUUUGGUCUAUAUUUUAGAGGUCUUACCCAAACUUUUUUUUAUUGACAAUUUAUUUAAAGAUAGCAACUUCAUCUGUUUACAAAUCUUUAAACUACGAAACAUGUGUUCACUAACCGGAAGUGCAAAUGCAAAAACAGGAAAAACAGAAUAAGAAAGCAAACAAAAAACUUUUAUAAACAUUCGGUCAUUGGAAACGCUAAUUUGACGUUUUCACUGAUGAUUGUUUAAAACAAAGCGUAUAAAUGAACUAGAUACUUCAUGUUUGUAGUAACCUAAACGGCCCUUUAAUACUUCUUAUAUCGCGUAUUAUUGGAAGGUGCAGUGUGUACUGUCGUGAACUGUACUAUAGUAGUACAAUGUAGCUGCGCCUGCACCUUCAUUGUCUGUGUAUAUUGUAGAUGUUCUACAAGUACAUGUACUACUAACGUUGUAUAAUUUUGGGGACCCUCUUGUUAAAAAUCCUGGAUUGGCAUCUAAAUAAACCAUUAGCACAAAAAUAAUGAGGCUAUUUAACAUAACUGCCCUAACCUCUAGCAUAACAAAACUGAUGUGUCUAAUCCCGUGCGUGUACUAUACCCAUGCCUUGACCAUUCGUUCACACGUUGUUAUCUGAUACAAAGAUUUCCCAUGAAUUCACUCUGAUAAAUUGACAGAAUGCUGAAGCAAUUCACUGAUAAACAUUUCAAGAAUCAAGAUCAUAUCUGCGAUUGACUUCAACAAUAAUGGUAUUACUCUGGUCAAAACUCUCGAUAGACAAAAUAACAUUUUGUACGAAAAAUUCAUGACCAAUUUAUUAAAUGUUUGACUUGUAAUUCUUGUAUCUGACACAUCGCAUGUUGGUUUUCAUCUAUAUUCAUUAUAUAUGUAUAGAAGUGUCUCGUGGAAUAUGAUCAAUCUAUUCUUGUCGCCUGUUAAAGCAUUUGUUAGAGUCUUGUGUCAGUAAAACGUUUUAUUCAAGUUCGAAAUUGGUCAGUGAUUAGUCAACCUAUUGACACUGAAUUGAAGGAACUGGAGUCUGCAAAAUUAUAUUAGAUUAGCGAAUAAAUAUGAAGGUACCAUGGGCUUUUGUCUGCUUUAUUUUAGUUAUACAUAUAUUUCAUCCUGCUCAAUUGUGCAAUUUAAUUGUUACGGAUUUACAAAACCAG